AGUAGUCGGAAGAUAGAUGUGAUUUCAUUAAUAGGACAAAGAUUGCAAAGCCCAUUUCAAAAAGAGACCCAUCGCCUAAAAAGCAGUCUUAGCUAAAACAGAGACCUGCCCCAGCCUAUCUGGAAGGCCUAAGUCCACAAACAGUAAAAUCCUAGUAGAGGAUGGAUCCGUGCUUGAAACCCAUGACCCGGAUGGAGUGUAGCUCAUUGCACUGCAGAUGAAUCGGCUAGAGUAUGCCUGAGGGGAGACAAAUCUUAUCGAAGCGCCAAAGGGGACCAAGCAUGACUGAAUCGCCUAAUGAAGUGAGUCCCCAAGAAAACAGCAACCCAAGGAGACAUAAACGUCAAGCUAGAAAACCCAGCAGAGACCAAGAAGCACCGGCCAUUUUUAGCUGAAACAACAAAAGAGGUAGAGCUUAGCCAUCUCACUCUCACAUAGACUUGUAGGGAUUGGGAAGUCACAAGAACAACAUCACAACGUUCCUAAGGUAUCCAUCUUCAACAGAAAAAAAGAAGCGAAGCCAUCAUUAAACACACCAAGCAGGUCCAAGAAACCUUCUCCUUAAAGCUGAACACUUGCAAUCAAGACCAACAAAAGUGUAAUGCCCCUGCUCCAAUCACUAAAGGGAUUGUCCGCUUUGCCCCACCCUAUCCUGAACCUCGUGAUUUUAUCUCAUAGUUGGAAUGGAGAAAUUCUUAGGAGGUCAUCCAUCCUAGUAUUUCUGUCA
rnacentral:misc_RNA from 1 species